UACGUAAGGUGCAAGCGUUGUUCGGAUUCACUGGGUGUAAAGGGCGUCUAGGCGUCUUGUUAAGUCGUGUGUGAAAUCCGUCGGCUCAACCGACGAACGGCACGCGAUACUGGCAAGCUUGAGUGCGGUAGGGGAAAGCGGAAUUCAGGGUGUAGCGGUGAAAUGCACAGAUAUCCUGGAGAACACCGAUGGCGAAGGCAGCUUUCUGGGCCUGCACUGACGCUGAAGCGCGAAAGCGUGGGGAGCAAACAGG
rnacentral:misc_RNA from 1 species